rnacentral:rRNA from 1 species
GAUGAACGCUGGCGGCGUGCCUAAUACAUGCAAGUCGAGCGAACGGACGAGAAGCUUGCUUCUCUGAUGUUAGCGGCGGACGGGUGAGUAACACGUGGAUAACCUACCUAUAAGACUGGGAUAACUUCGGGAAACCGGAGCUAAUACCGGAUGAUAUUUUGAACCGCAUGGUUCAAAAGUGAAAGACGGUCUUGCUGUCACUAAUAGAUGGAUCCGCGCUGCAUUAGCUAGUUGGUAAGGUAAUGGCUUACCAAGGCAACGAUGCAUAGCCGACCUGAGAGGGUGAUCGGCCACACUGGAACUGAGACACGGUCCAGACUCCUACGGGAGGCAGCAGUAGGGAAUCUUCCGCAAUGGGCGAAAGCCUGACGGAGCAACGCCGCGUGAGUGAUGAAGGUCUUCGGAUCGUAAAACUCUGUUAUUAGGGAAGAACAUAUGUGUAAGUAACUGUGCACAUCUUGACGGUACCUAAUCAGAAAGCCACGGCUAACUACGUG